AUUAAUCAAUUCCCUUGGGGCCGUUGUCGCAAAUUAGUAGUACAAUUAAUUUUCAGCAAGUACACGUUAAUUUUCCUGGUCACGCGCAACACCAUAGUAUAACCCAAAACCCUAAUCUAAACCCACAGAGCAGACCAUAUUGGUGUUGUUAGGAAGAGAGAUCAAUCAAUACAGCUAUGGCUUGGCGUGGUUCCGUUAGCAGGUCACUUAUGUCCACCGUUAGGGCUUCCACUUCCCGUUCAUCUCCGUCACUUAACCGUGUUCGCACUCCUCCAAUCUCCGCCACGCGUGCCAACACGCGCCGCUUCUCAUUCGGCAGUCCCAGGCCAUUGGGAGCAUUGGGGUGUACUCAGUCUUUGUUGCCGCUGCACAAUGUGGUGUCUGGAACUCGAUUGACUUCUCACUUGACAGUCAACGUGCGGGCUUGCUGCGAGCUGUAUCACGGUACCUUCCAACGUUCUUGUCAGGAUCGCUAGUAGUUUCUUUGGAGGAAUGGAAAAGAUGGGUGAUGUCAGCAGCGCUUCCAAACCUCCAAGGUCACAUUUUGAAGCAUUGUACUUGAACACAAUUACUGGAGCAGCACAAAGUUGCUUGAAGUUCAUGGUAGUCUUGGCGGGUAAAUGCAUCUCUGACAAUCUGUUUCAGAUGCAGACAAUAAUAGCUGUAAUCUUUCUUUUUCAUGUUCUAAAGAUAAACUAGAAAAUCUGUUUUUUGACGGACAGUCAUAGAGAUUAAAUUUAUUUCAGUUUAGUGCUCAUUCGUGCUUAACCUAUCUUAUGUAAGCAAUUUGAGAUGCUUCUUAUUCUGUCUUUCUUUUGCAAUCUUGUAUAAUGUCAGAGAGAUUUUUACCAGUACGGUUGAUAACAAUUGAAUGGAGGUUAUGCUGUCUUAUUAUGCA